rnacentral:rRNA from 1 species
UGGAUUAGGCAUGCAAGUCGCGCGUGAAAGUCGUAAGACGAGUAAAGCGGCGAAAGGGUGCGUAACACGUAAUCAAUCUACCCUCGAGACUGGGAUAGCCACUGGAAACGGUGGGUAAGACCAGAUGGUCCACUGGGAGGCAUCUCCUGGAUGGUAAACGGUGGCGAAAGCUGCUGCUCGGGGAGGAGGUUGCGGGCUAUCAGCUAGUUGGUGAGGUAACGGCCCACCAAGGCGAUGACGGCUACCGGGUCUGAGAGGACGGUCCGGCACACUGGGACUGAGAACUGCCCAGACUCCUACGGGAGGCUGCAGUCGUGAAUCUUCCGCAAUGGGCGAAAGCCUGACGGAGCGACACCGCGUGUAGGAUGAAGGCCCUCGGGUUGUAAACUACUGUCACGUUCUAGGAACUGCUCAGUGUGAAUAGCACUGAGCUCGACCAAGACGGGAGGAAGCACCGGCUAACUCUGUGCCAGCAGCCGCGGUA